rnacentral:rRNA from 1 species
GACGAACGCUGGCGGCGUGCUUAACACAUGCAAGUCGAACGGAAAGGCCCUGCUUUUGUGGGGUGCUCGAGUGGCGAACGGGUGAGUAACACGUGAGUAACCUGCCCUUGACUUUGGGAUAACUUCAGGAAACUGGGGCUAAUACCGGAUAGGAGCUCCUGCUGCAUGGUGGGGGUUGGAAAGUUUCGGCGGUUGGGGAUGGACUCGCGGCUUAUCAGCUUGUUGGUGGGGUAGUGGCUUACCAAGGCUUUGACGGGUAGCCGGCCUGAGAGGGUGACCGGCCACAUUGGGACUGAGAUACGGCCCAGACUCCUACGGGAGGCAGCAGUGGGGAAUAUUGCACAAUGGGCGGAAGCCUGAUGCAGCAACGCCGCGUGCGGGAUGACGGCCUUCGGGUUGUAAACCGCUUUCGCCUGUGACGAAGCGUGAGUGACGGUAAUGGGUAAAGAAGCACCGGCUAACUACGUGCCAGCAGCCGCGGUGAUACGUAGGGUGCGAGCGUUGUCCGGAUUUAUUGGGCGUAAAGGGCUCGUAGGUGGUUGAUCGCGUCGGAAGUGUAAUCUUGGGGCUUAACCCUGAGCGUGCUUUCGAUACGGGUUGACUUGAGGAAGGUAGGGGAGAAUGGAAUUCCUGGUGGAGCGGUGGAAUGCGCAGAUAUCAGGAGGAACACCAGUGGCGAAGGCGGUUCUCUGGGCCUUUCCUGACGCUGAGGAGCGAAAGCGUGGGGAGCGAACAGGCUUAGAUACCCUGGUAGUCCACGCUGUAAACGGUGGGUACUAGGUGUGGGGUCCAUUCCACGGGUUCCGUGCCGUAGCUAACGCUUUAAGUACCCCGCCUGGGGAGUACGGCCGCAAGGCUAAAACUCAAAGGAAUUGACGGGGCCCCGCACAAGCGGCGGAGCAUGCGGAUUAAUUCGAUGCAACGCGUAGAACCUUACCUGGGUUUGACAUGAAUCGGGGGCGCUCAGAGAUGGGUGUGCCUCUUUUGGGGUCGGUUCACAGGUGGUGCAUGGCUGUCGUCAGCUCGUGUCGUGAGAUGUUGGGUUAAGUCCCGCAACGAGCGCAACCCUUGUUCACUGUUGCCAGCACGUUAUGGUGGGGACUCAGUGGAGACCGCCGGGGUCAACUCGGAGGAAGGUGGGGAUGACGUCAAGUCAUCAUGCCCCUUAUGUCCAGGGCUUCACGCAUGCUACAAUGGCUGGUACAGAGAGUGGCGAGCCUGUGAGGGUGAGCGAAUCUCGGAAAGCCGGUCUCAGUUCGGAUUGGGGUCUGCAACUCGACCUCAUGAAGUCGGAGUCGCUAGUAAUCGCAGAUCAGCAACGCUGCGGUGAAUACGUUCCCGGG